rnacentral:ncRNA from 13 species
GCUCCCGUGGCCUAAUGGAUAAGGCGUUGGUCUCCUAUCAACCAACGAUGGGGGUUCAAGUCCCCCCGGGAGCC